rnacentral:misc_RNA from 1 species
GAUGAAGAACGCAGCGAAAUGCGAUAAGUAAUGUGAAUUGCAGAAUUCAGUGAAUCAUCGAAUCUUUGAACGCACAUUGCGCCCGCCAGUAUUCUGGCGGGCAUGCCUGUCUGAGCGUCAUUUCAACCCUCAUGCCCCUAGGGCGUGGUGUUGGGGAUCGGCCAAAGCCCGCGAGGGACGGCCGGCCCCUAAAUCUAGUGGCGGACCCGUCGUGGCCUCCUCUGCGAAGUAGUGAUAUUCCGCAUCGGAGAGCGAUGAGCCCCUGCCGUUAAACCCCCAACUUUCCAAGGUUGACCUCAGAUCAGGUAGGAAUACCCGCUGAACUUAAGCAUAUCAAUAAGCUGAGGA